UCACCAACUGCCGUGUGUACAGAGGAGCAGAGCUUGGCAACACCGACCAUCGUCUGCUGGUGGCUCAGCUU